rnacentral:tRNA from 1 species
GGCGCCGUGGCCAAGUGGUAAGGCAGGGGUCUGCAAAACCCUUAUCACCGGUUCGAUUCCGGUCGGCGCCUCCA